GGACGGUUAGCUCAGCUGGUCAGAGCGUUCGCUUGACGUGCGAAAGGUCGAGGGUUCGAGCCCCCCACCGUCCA
rnacentral:tRNA from 1 species